rnacentral:pre_miRNA from 1 species
AAAAAAUUAUACGUUUAAGUAGUGGAUACAAAAGGCGAUUUGUAUAACGAAAGUUCGCAUUGUAUGUCCUACUUAAGUGGCUGAUUUUUU